rnacentral:rRNA from 1 species
UACGUAGGCAGCAAGCGUUGUUCGGAGUUACUGGGCGUAAAGGGUGCGUAGGCGGCUUCUUAAGUUUGGUGUGAAAUCUCCCGGCUCAACUGGGAGGGUGCGACCGCAAUACGUGAGGGCUAGAGUGUGGGAGAGGAAAGUGGAAUUCCAGGUGUAGCGGUGAAAUGCGUAGAUAUCUGGAGGAACACCGGUGGUGUAAACGGCUUUCUGGACCAUUACUGACGCUGAUGCACGAAAGCGUGGGUAGCAAACAGG